CGGGGGGGUCGGUGCGUGGGCGGGGCGGGAGCUCUAGGCGGUUAGGAGUCGGGGCUCAGAUGCGGGGGCGGGGCCGGAGCGAGGCCGGGUAUCACCCGGGAGUGGAGGAAGUGCGGGGGGUUCGCGGCGCGGGGAGGGUGAUCCCGGGAGGACUUGCGCGGCGCGUGGGGCGGGGCACAGAUGCUCCCCGGCCUGGCUCCGAGUAACUGCGAGCUGGAGGCGCGGCUGCUCUCUCGGGCGGACCUCAGCUCUGCGAACCCUGUGGCUGCCGGAGCACUGAGCGCCCUGCCCGGAGUCCCGCGGAGCCUGGCGAGGAGGGGUCGCUGCAUCCCGAGGGCCAGCCCUGAGCCGGGAGAUGAAACAGCUGUCAUGGAAAUAUUUUUUAAAUCUCAUACUGGUCAAACGGUGUAAACUUUGCUGGAAGGAACCUUACUCAGAGGGCCAAUCACCUGCUUCUCUAGAGUUCUCAAGCUCUCCUGUGAGCACCAGGUUGAGCUGCAGAAAGCCAGAACCAGCUCAGAAACUGAGAAAUGGACAUGAAGAUGCCCAGGUCUGCAGAUGGUUUCCAUUCUGAAAAGUGAUAGUCCCAAGGGGGACUGGCAUGCAGUCAUUCAUUCAACAAUUGUGCUCCUACUCUGUGAAGUAUUGGGGAUACAGUGCUGAGCACAGACAGACCUAGUCUCUGUCCUUUGCACCUUUCAGUGAAGGAUAGGAGGUAGACAUUGAUGCAACAAGCACCCGAGUAAAUGUAAGACCAUGCAGUGAUAAAGGCCGUGGAGGAAGGGCCCAUGCAGGGGCAGAAAACAGAGGAAGGGGCUGGUGGAGCAGCUCCUCUAGCUCAAGGCUGAGUGGUAUAAACUGUAGCUACUGCAUGAUCUGAACGUGUCUUAAGGAGGGUAUCCCCAAAGCGGGCUCAUUGGGAGUUACUGUGGAGCGCUAGUUUAUUGUAAUUGCCAUAUGUUUAUAAGUAAUGGAAUCCUAGAAUUAGAAGGAACUUCGGUCACCUUUUAAUUUAAUAUUUAUCUUUCUCAAUCCAGGAAACAUCUCUACAGCAUCCCUAACUGGGGGUUGAUCCAUUCAUUUCCAGACACAGAGAACAGAGUCACAUUCUGCUGUUUCCAUAUGUACCAUUUUAGUAAGACUUCUUGGGGCACAAGGCAGGAAGUUGGGGACAAUAUAUUUGUCUGCACCAAGGCAGCCUGAGAAGAGAGAAGUGAAUACUCCUGGGGUUAUUCUAUAUUAUUCACUUAAUAUUCUAAGUGAGUCCUCUAGGGGUACCUGAGACAUGGAGUAUGAAAGUACACAUUCACAAAAGUACCAGCUUUAAAACUAGAUUAUCUCUACUAUUCAAAAACACCAAGGAAAGGCCACACAAUGGAGACAAAGUGCAUCUGAGAUCUAGCAAAUUUCCCUGUUGGCCACAUACUGAUAAUGAUGUAUUAAAAUCAAUUCUAUACUGUGGGGUACUUAUUUGACAUUAAUAGGUACCAUGGUGGUUUAACAUAGUUGCUGCCCAGAGAAAACGCCGCACACUCACCUACACUAAAAUGAAGUCUGAGUCAGCUGCCUCCCCUCCGCCAUCCCUUCCAAAGCCAAUGGUUGAAAGUCACAGAAGUCCCUCUGCUGCCACCUAGUGACGACAAUGUGAAUACAACUACACAGCCUCCUGGGAAAGAAGUUUUGAACCACGUUUGCUUCUAAAGGAAGCCUGUAAUUACCUCUGAGUGCUCUAUUUUGGCUACAAUUUAAAAACAUAUAUAUUUUAAAACUCUAUAAACUCUUAUGCAUAUCCCUUUUUAAGAAUCUGACCUGUAAUGGAUGUAGCCUCACUUUCAAGAACCUAAAAGCUAUGCCCCCAAUUCAGGGAGUAGAACAGACAGGCUUAAGAACAGUGCCUAAAAAUGCCACUAAAUUUAUCUUUAAAAUGCCUGUGGUUCCUUAGCACUUGAAUUCCGUUAUGCCCCUGGGUAUAGUCACCUGGAUGUUAGGGGCUGUCAAAAUUCAGCCCUCAGUUGGUGAUCAGUAGGUUUUCCCUUUAAGUGGUUUCUGAAAGGAUUUUUUUUAAAAAUCUUGAAAUUCUCAUGUCUGGAUGAUGUUUCCAGUUUUGUGGAAGAAUAAAAGAAAAGGGACAUGAAAUUCUGGCUCCCUGGGGGCAGUGGCUGUGUCUUAUUAAUCUCUGUGCCCAUUGUACCAACACCGGUCAGUCACAGCAUGUACUCAACCAAUGCUGAUGAAUGCAGAGGGGCGAGGGGCUGGCACGCUCUUGACCCCUUAUAGGGGCUGCGUCGAUGGCCAGGGUUCAAUGGGAACUUUCUGGUACAGUCUUGCUCUGCCAAUCUUUCAAAUUAAGUGCAGCACAAUUGGAAGCCUCACAUUCUCAUAGACGGGUUGAGGAGGGCAUUAGGGGCAGAAAGGCUCACAUAAGGCCUGAGCGUGAGGUUUCCUGCCCAGCACUGCUGUGCCAUUGCAGCCCACCUUCUUCUCACCUUUCCUUCCACACCACGGCGCGGCAGGUGCAGAAACCGUGCUGGGAUUGAGGCCCUAGAGGCUGACUACAGGUCUUGGGGGCAAAACAUCUGGACACACAGCUGAAGAUGAGCCAAGUAUAUUAGUCAGGGUUCUCUAGAGAAACAGAACCAACAAGAUAGAGAGAUGCAGAGAGACAGAGGGACAGACAGACAGAUUUAAGUAACUGACCCAUAAAAUCUUGGAGGCUUGGCAAGUCCAAAAUCUGCAAGAUGGAAGUGGGCUGGCACAUUGGAGACUCAAGGAAGAGUUGCACGUUGAGUUCAAAGGCCGGCUGCUGGCAGAAUUCCUUUCUGCUCAGGUGAAGUCGGUCUCUGUUCUAUUAAGACCUUCAACUGAUUGGAUGAGGUCCACCCAUAUUAUGAAGGGUCAUUUGCUUUACUCAACAUCUACUCAUCUAAAUAUUAAUCUCAUUGAAAAAAAACCCCAGAAACAUCCAGAAUAGCAUUUGACCAAAUGUUUGGACAAUGCAGCCUAGCCACAUUAACACACAAAAUUAACUGUCACAGCAAGACACCAGGGAAGCAUUGGAAGAUGUUAGCGGCUGUCAUUGAAAUGGGUGCCGUCAGGUGGACGGCAGCCAUCCAUCGGGCAAGAGCGGGGCAGCUGGAAGGGCCCUCCCCUCCCGUUUGCUUUCUGCUCUUCACAGCUCACGGAUAGAGGAAUUUUCUCAGCACAUUUCCCAGGAGGAGUUUGGCACCACCAUUUCUUGAAAACAGAUGUCUGCAGGGAUGUGUGUGUGCCUGUGAAUAUGAAGUCCAGAGCCUGGGACUGAGAACAGCAAGGGGAACAGGUGGCCACAGGGGAGUUGCCAGAUUGCUGACUUAAGAUGUGCUCCCAGGGCUGCACUGGUGUCGGUCGUGAGAGCGAUCACGGUUUGUGCAACGUCUGAACUUUCUAUCAACUUAUGGUUUAAUCAAUUUGCUGUUUACUCCAGCUAUUUGCAACCUCUCCUCAGUUACUUGGUGUUCAGCAGUGUAAUAUAUCUUCAUGUGUGAAUAUAAAUAUACUAUUUAGUGGAAACUAAAAGGAAUUGUGGAGGAAGAAUUUUUUUGGAUAAUUUUAUGUUUUCAUAAUGUAAAAAUUAAAGAUAUUUGAAGAGUUGAGUAUGUCAGUUUUGGGGAUGCAAGAGAAUGACUUCGGGACUACCAUAAUAUUUAAAAUCAUCACUACUCUUUCUUUCCACCUAAGUCUCAUAGCAAAAGAGGAAAUUUACUUCAGUCUCUUUCUGUAGCAGAACAUUAUCGUGCUGUAUUCCUGUGUUCACUUAUCUGCGCUGGAUUGUGAGUCCUUACAGAGAGAAAUUGUUAUGUGCUAUGUUCCCAACACCUGCACAUUAUAGGUGGUCACUAAGUGCUUGAUGAAUAAAUGAAUGAGGGAAUAAUAUUGUUUAUUAUUUUUUGCUGUUAUUUAUAAUUGGGAGUGGGUAGGAUUUGGAUUAUGAAGACUCUGGGAAGCCUCAUAAGAACCUCAGACUCACUGGGCACGGUGGCUCACACCUGUAAUCCCAGCACUUUGGGAGGCCGAGGCAGGCGGAUCACGAGGUCGGGAGAUCGAGACCAUCCUGGCUAACACGGUGAAACCCGGUCUCCACUAAAAAUACAAAAAACUAGCCAGGUGUGGUGGCGGGCGCCUGUAGUCCCAGCUACUCCAGAGGCUGAGGCAGGAGAAUGGCCGUGAACCCAGGAGGCGGAGGUUGCAAUGAGCCGAGAUCGCACCACUGCACUCCAGCCUGGGCGACAGAGCAAGACUCCAUCUCAAAAAGAAAAACCUCAGACCAGACUCAACGUGUCCAAAAAAGAGCUCACCUUGUACCCCUAGAUCCUGAAGCGGCUUCCAGUAGCUCAACCUCCUCCCAUCCAGUUCCAUCUCUGCCAGGGAUCUUUUAAAAAUGCAAAUCUCAUUAUGUCUCUUUCCUGCCUCAAACCUCCCAGUGGUUCUCCAGUCUGUCAGGAGAGGGUAUAGACUGUGGCCUGGCCCGGGAAGUUCUUUGAGGUCAACCCCUGCCUACUCAUCUUGCUAACUCUUAUGGCUCUCUGACACUAGGCUUUUGCUCCAAUCAUAUAAGCAACUGUAUUUCCAUAAAAUUGCAAUGUUCUUCCCUACCUCCUCACUUAACUAAUUUUCACUUUACUGAUCAUUUCUUAUUUUACUAUCAGCGUCUCUUUCUCCUUAUUCUUCAGGGAACAUUUCUCUCCACCAUCCUGUGCCACACUGUGGGGGUGUCAGUAACACCCUCUGUCCUCUCCUGGCCAAAGGAAAGGGGUGUCAUUCAGCCCAGGCCCCUGGAUCCUCAUCUUGGGAUUUGGAAAUGUGACCGAAGUGACAUAAAAAAAAGACAUGAAGUGCGAGGAGCUCAUUCAGUCAGCUCUGCAGCUCCAGCUGGGUUACCUGUGAGUCCUUGCUAGCCAGAUCCCUUGAUUUGCCGUGACUCCUGCCUUUGCCAAGUCUGUCUUCAUAGAUUCUUUCAAAUGUGGUUCCAUCUUGCCUGAGUUCGUCAGAGCCAGAUUCUGUGCUGUAAUAAAAAACCCCAAAUCAACUCACCUCUCACCCUCCACAAUGCAGCUUCUGGAAGAUUCCAGAUGCCCCAGCCUGACUGAGAAUUCUCUCUCCUCUGCUCUCAAAGUCCCUUUGGGUGCUUCUACCAAAGCACUGACAGCGUGAUUCUGAUUUGAUCGCUGGUGUCUGAGAGCUGUGAACGUCUUGAUGGUUUUGGCGCCCAGCACCAUUCCUGCCUCAUAAUUGGCACGUGAUAAAGGCUUGUCGCAUUCCCUCAUUCAAAAUAAACAUAGAAGACAAUCCAGAGAUUGCAGCUUCACAGAAAUCACAGAAGGAAAUUUAUAUUUAUAGAGACGGCAUAUAAAAUUUUAAAACAAUUUUAAUGAAAAUCUUGAAAAUAGACAUUCUCUUCUUUAAACAACAUAAACUGAACAAACUCAGUCUGUUUUGGUGCCUCUGUGAGUACCCUCGGUUGCUCUGGGCUGCUGUGCGAUGCUGACCGGGACUUCCUCAGAGGCCUCAUCUUCUGCAUCCAGUGGACUUGCAAGCCACUUUACACUUCCUGGGUGAUAAGGUUUGGAUUUGUGUCCCCGCCCAAAUCUCACGUGGAAUGUCAUUCCUAAUGUUGGAAGAGGGGCCUGGUGGGAGGUGAUUGGAUCAUGGGGGCAGAAUUCCCUCUUGCAGUUCUCUUGGUAGUGAGUUCUCACAAGAUCUGGUUGUUUAAAAGUAUGUAGCACCUCCUGCUUUCGCUGUCUUCCUCCUGCUCCCGCCAUGUAAGACGUGGCCUCCUUUCCCUUCGCCUUCCGCCAUGAUUGAAAGUCUUCAGAGGCCUCCCCAG
rnacentral:lncRNA from 10 species